UCGAUCGUCUGUCCCGCACCUCCCGCGCCUGGAUCCCCACCUCCCUCGCCUCCAUCCCCAACCCACCGGCGACCCCCUUCCCCACCCGCAGCCAGUGCUCCACCCCGCCCCGGACCCCAUCCCCCGCCGUAGGUGCCCCGCCCCAACUCUCUCGCACCCUCCGGCAUCCCCCCACCCCCGCCGCCCCCGUCAACACCAGCCGCCGGAACGUCCCCAAUGGCGACGGGGUCGACCGCCUCCCCGGUCGCGCGCCCACGCGUUUCCUUACGGCCACCGCCCCGCCGCCCGCGUUCCCCUCCGGUAGGCCGCAGCGCGCCCCGCCCUCCCUCCGGCCACCCGCCCCCAGCGACGACGGGGUCGACCGCCUCCUGGGUCUCACGCCCCCGCGUUUUCUUCCGGCGACCGCCCCGUCGCCCGCGUUCCCCUCCGGCAGGCCGCAGCACGCCCCGCCCUCCCUCCGGCCACCCGCCCCCAGCCUCCGGCCAACUCCAUUACCUCCGCUGGGCACCGCUCCCCCUAUCCUCGACCUCUCUCACCGCACCGGAGCAGGAUCCUGGUAGCACGACGCGACCAGCGACGCACGGCGGUGCCUGUGUCUUCUCUGCUCAUGCUCUUUUUUUCUUUCUGAUGCAAAAGGCUAUGGUCAAGUUCAUGGUGAGAACCGGUUGUGUUCUUCCUCAUGGCCAGAGCUCGUCCGGUGAUGUAGGAGAUAGAUGGAGCCCCAACCGUGUGGUCUAAUUCCUCAUGGGGUUUCUGGAGCCACUUUUUUUGCAGCUCAACAUUGGUAUACUUUAGAAGUUCAUCUACUAACUGAUCGAGGUGUUUCCAUCCGCCUCCUGCCUUGCAUCUCUAGUACGUGACCUGCUCCGGCACCUCUGAUCGACCUUCCCCGUCGUCGCUUGCUUGAACAUGUGAACCUCUGCUGCUCCAUGUAAAUCUGCCUGCUGCACUACUACGGUUGCUCUAUGUUGUGCCCUUUUGCUGGUUGAAGUUGUUGUUAUUUGCUAGCUUUUCCAUAGGCUACUGCACUUGGAUCUUGAAAUCAAUUUCAUCGGUUAUGUGCGUGCUUGGACUGACAACAUUAGGCCAUAGAAAAAAAUGGAUGCUCCUCGACUACUAAUUCCAUGGCUGCCUCAGCUCUACUCGCUCAAGCGACGAUAACUUUGAUGUUUGUUUCUACAAUAUUGUUUGCAAGUCAGUAUUGUUGGUAUGGAUGCUUCUCUGUUGUUCAUCUUGUAGUAUGUUAAAGAAGAAUCAUGAAUGAUUGGGUCUACAUCUGCAUAAAAGAGAGUCCCUUUCCGAGUUUUGAUCCGUUAGUUAAUUUCAUAUGUAUGUUGUUAAAAAAGAAUUAAUCGUGUAGAAUGUGAAAAACUGAGAUUAGAGUUGUAUUUUUUCUGCUGAAUUUUUUCACAAUGUUUCUUGGUUAUCAAGUAAGUGUUCUUUCAUUGUUUUCAUCAAUUUCCUAAUUGAUGGAAAAGCUUGCUGCUACUCGCGUCCAGUGUUGUGUACUGUGCUCCUCUAUCUAAAGCUUGUACAGCGUGCCAGAGCAAAAAAUGGGAAGGCACUAAUCUGAAGUUCAGAUAUGAUAAAGAAAGAAGUCGUGCGAUCUCGGAUCUAGUGAUUUUCCACAAGCUAUGGCCCCUUUCCCUGAUGCAUAAACGCGGACGGCCGCCCUGCAACAUACCUCUUUCUCCCGCUGCUCCAGCAAGCAAGCUCCUAGCGUCGCUCCUCCAGCCUGCGACCUUCCGUGCCACGUCUCCACCGGGCGUUGCUACCUCCCGGCCAUAUGAAUGGCGUUGCCGAAGUCCACAUUGUACUACACCAGAAGGACGACUCCUAUAGGUCGUGCCAAUCGUCUUUCUUCCACCGUCCAUGGUCGCCAUCGCCGUUAAUAAAGUUGUACUCGAUCCAUGUGUACUAUGUUUGCCAUACGUGCUUGAUGCAUUCGAGCGCCCCACGCAGUGCUCCAGGGAAGUAGCUGGAGGCAGGAGCUAGCUGCGCACUUGCUGAUUUUGUCAUAGCCUAGUGGUUGUUAACCAAGCUAAGCAGGUCAUGUUUGUGUCAGCUAGAAGAACCAGUGUGAGGCGUUACGUAGAGCUUGUCGGUUUGACUGAGUUAGAUGUACCAGGAUGGGAGAUGCGAGUGUUCUUUACUUGUGAGUUUAUUAUAA